rnacentral:rRNA from 1 species
AUACGGAGGAUCCAAGCGUUAUCCGGAUUUAUUGGGUUUAAAGGGUGCGUAGGCGGACUGGUAAGUCAGCUGUGAAAGUUUGCGGCUUAACCGUAAAAUUGCAGUUGAUACUGUCAGUCUUGAGUGUGCAUGAGGUGGGCGGAAUUUGUGGUGUAGCGGUGUAAUGCUUAGAUAUCACGAGGAACUCCAAUUGCGAAGGCAGCUCACUGGGGCAUAACUGACGCUGAUGCACGAAGGUGUGGGUAUCAAACAGGAUUAGAUACCCUGGUAGUCCACACAGUAAACUAUGAAUACUCGCUGUUUGCGAUAUACAGUAAGCGGCCAAGCGAAAGCAUUAAGUAUUCCACCUGGGGAGUACGCCGGCAACGGUGAAACUCAAAUGAAUUGACGGGG